rnacentral:rRNA from 1 species
UACGUAGGGAGCAAGCGUUGUCCGGAAUUAUUGGGCGUAAAGAGCUCGUAGGCGGUCUGUCACGUCGGCUGUGAAAUCCCGAGGCUCAACCUCGGGUCUGCAGUCGAUACGGGCAAGCUAGAAUUCGGUAGGGGAGACUGGAAUUCCUGGUGUAGCGGUGAAAUGCGCAGAUAUCAGGAGGAACACCGGUGGCGAAGGCGCCGCUCUGGGCCGAAACUGACGCUGAGGAGCGAAAGCGUGGGGAGCAAACAGG